rnacentral:lncRNA from 1 species
CUAUAACACUCAAGACUAAAUAGUCUAGAAUAUAGCUAGAGCGUUCAUAAUUGAGUACUGGAUACAUAAAGAUUACAAUACAUAAGAAGUUUGAUAUGUACAUGUAGGUACUAUAUACAUAAGUCUGAUACAACUUAAACAGAAAGAACAUGAUAUGACAGCAUAAUAGACAAUAAAGUCCGGAACAUAAAGCAUCUAGCUGCAGCAACUACUCCUCUGCUCGCUUACCACGAGAACCUUGCUUAUCUGAAAAAAAAAUGAAUAAGCGUGGGAUGAGACUACUAAGCCUCAGUGAGUUCUGCUACCCAACUAACGGUGACUACACCGGGGUACCUGAAUGUCAGUCCAUAACAUAAUUUUCAUAACAUAAUUCAUAAUAUAACAUAAAAACAUAAAUGUGUAUCACAAAUUAUUAUCUUGUUCAUUUUAACAUAACUAAGACACU